rnacentral:rRNA from 1 species
UACGAAGGGGCUAGCGUUGUUCGGAAUUACUGGGCGUAAAGCGCACGUAGGCGGGUUUGUAAGUAGGGGUGAAAUCCCAGGGCUCAACCCUGGAACUGCCUUCUAAACUGCAAGCCUGGAGGUCAGGAGAGGCGAGUGGAAUACCGAGUGUAGAGGUGAAAUUCGUAGAUAUUCGGUGGAACACCAGUGGCGAAGGCGACUCGCUGGACUGAUACUGACGCUGAGGUGCGAAAGCGUGGGGAGCAAACAGG